GAAAAUUGUUUCUUGGGAAUUAGUUUAAUCAAAUGUUUUGUGAGUCUUGCAAAUUGGAAAGAAUAAUAUAAAAUUAGAUAUAUUGGUAAACUAGGUUAAUCACAGUCAUUCAUUUGUAGCAGAGAAUACAUAUCUAUCAAUUGAUGUUUUUUGAAGUCGGGAGAAACAUUCCAUCAAGCUAAUGUGUUUAAGGGUAUCAUAUCAGGCACAGACAGGUACUAGAAGUGAUAAAAAACAGAUAACCUGCAAUAAAAUGAUUUACAGAUGGGUCAUUAUCUUCUAUAGAGAGGUUACAAAGAUCAUAUUCUUUAUAAAAACAGAAUGCAAUUCUACAGAGCUAGGAGAAUUAUCUAAAUGCAUCUGAAUAUAUAAUGUUUUCUGAGUGACUGGUAGAAUUUAUCAAAGCAAAAUUUGUUAGCCUUCUUAUCAGCAGCAUAUUAUUUUAAGAUAUAGAAAAUUACUGUCCUGUAUUUUAAAUAUUCUUUAUUUUACCCACUUGAUAAAGUAAAGCUUGGGAAACAUUUUGCCUCUUAUAGUGUGAUCCUUUUAGUGCAUACAUUUAAAAUAUGCAUAAAAAUGUUAUCCACAAAUUAAAAAAAGGUGUAAAGUUUGAUGUUAGGGAGCUAUUAGUUUUCAUGACCUGUUUCAUACGGCGUGUGCCUGAAAUGCAUCUUUUCUAUCAGUGGUAAGACAGGAUGUCAUUUAUAUAUUUUCUCUUUCUUCUUCAGCUUGACAGAAAGGUAUACAGUCAAUUGUUUCUCCGGUCUCUCAUAGACUGACAUAAGGCAACAGGAAACUCUAAACCCUCAGAGUCACUCUGGUCUACUGAGACAGAUUAACUUUCUACAGAACCUUUCAUGUCACCAGUCCACUGCUGAGGGACUCACAUAGGCCACUACAGUAAGAACAUACUUUAUUUAACUUUAGUUCAAGUAAGUAUAGAUGUGCUCAUGUCAAAUUUUUAUGUACAUAAACAGACAUGUUUCAAUUUAUUUUUAGUAAACUCAUGUUCUGUUAUAGAUGCCUGUUCUCAUAACUUGCCCAGAAGCUCAAACAUGAAUUCUAGGAAAACCCUUUCGCACUUUGACAGAGUUGGGUGUUUUGAAUUCAACCAUGGAAGUAUCAUUUUGACUAAUGUUGGUAGAGAGAGGCUUGAAAGAUAACAUGUCACUGGUUUAUUUUCAUCACUUUGUAUCUACAUGCUUGCAUGCGUAAGUGCAUAUGCAUACAUACAUGCACCUUUGCAGGGUAUCAGUGUGAAAAGGGGAAUGAAAAAGGAUAGAAAGGAGGAUUCUAAUUUCACUUUUAGUUAUACCAGCAAAUAGCAAAUUUGUAGUAGCUUUAAUUGUAGUGUCAUCAGUGUAAUUGCUAGUUACUGCAGUGCUUGGUAGCCUUCUAUAGGCUCUAGUUCCAAUUACACUACGUGUUCUUUCCACCAUGGAUCUAUGGUGGAAAUUACUGCACCAAUGGCAUUUCUCUUUUAAAGUAACAAUGGAAUAUUUUCAUUUAUUUCAAAACAAGUUAGAUAUGAUCAGCUAUUCAUCUUGAUUUCAUAGGCUUAAAGGAUGGUUAACUGGGGUUGAGAUGGGAUAA
ensembl:lncRNA